rnacentral:rRNA from 1 species
UACAGAGGUCUCAAGCGUUGUCCGGAAUUACUGGGCGUAAAGAGCUCGUAGGUGGUUUGUCGCGUUGUCCGUGAAAACUCACAGCUUAACUGUGGGCGUGCGGGCGAUACGGGCAGACUGGAGUACUGCAGGGGAGACUGGAAUUCCUGGUGUAGCGGUGGAAUGCGCAGAUAUCAGGAGGAACACCGGUGGCGAAGGCGGGUCUCUGGGCAGUAACUGACGCUGAGGAGCGAAAGCGUGGGGAGCGAACAGG